UCUUUUUAGUGGUAAAAAUAGAGUCUUCCUCAAAAAGUGAGGAGAUUAUUACAUCAUCAAGUUUCUCAAAGAUUACAUCAGAAAGACUCUGGAAAAGUAUUAAAAGUGACUUUAAGCACUUCAAUGGCUUGUUUUUAAAAGGACUCAGUAACAUCUUUCUCUGGUGUGGCAGGCAAAGUAAGGACAAUCUCCAUUGCUUUAAGAUACUCGUCAAUAAUGAGUAGCUACUCGGUUAGCCCUUCACCUUUCUUCUCCUCUUUGAUCAGCUUGACAAUGUUUGAGAAAAUUUCAAAACUCAGCUCCUCCUUUCUGAGAUACCAGAUGAGUUCAGGAUAGCCAUUUAGUGGAUGAUCCUCUUGAUCUUGGACAAAUGUUUCAUAUAAGGGAGGGAUAUGAUCACCAUCUCCUAUCAUUUUCUCAUCUUUAGUAGCCACAUAACAUAAGCCACUCUUAUUUUAUUGACCGCCGAACUCUGGCAAAGUAGUAGCUCUUUUGUAAGUUUUACCUAAUCCUGUUCCCUUUGUCCAAUUCAUCUUCUUUAUCAUUACUGAGACUCUCUUCCAUGCUCACUUAAACACUUGCUUGCUCGGCCUUGAUCAUACCAACCAUCUAAAAACCAUCCAUGUGUUGGCCAUGAGCUGCUACAAGGUUUACUACAUUGUUCUCCUCAGUAGAAACAGUGAUUACAAAACUACUCAUAGGCAGCUUGAUCUUCUAGUGCAGGGUUGAUGGAACUCCUCCUAAUGGGUGAUACCAUGGUCGACCCAAUAAUAAAGCAAAGGUUUCUGGUAUGUCACUCACGGUGAACUCAACCUCAGUCUCAAUUGGCCUAACCUUUAUAAUGGCAUUAAAAGUGCCUUCCACUACAUGUUUUGUAUCAUCAUAUGCUCUUAUAAUAGUAGAACCUAAAGGCCGGGAAGCAUAGAUUUGAGGGCAUUAGAACAUUGAAUUUACAUUGAAUUUUAAAAUUCAAUCUAAGGUUACAUACACCAUACAAAGUGUUUUAUAUG
rnacentral:misc_RNA from 1 species